UCCCCGUUGCCGAGGCAGUCUGACUAGAAAAAUCCAACUAGCCACGAGGGUUGCGCUCGUUGAAGGACUUAACCUAACAUCUCACGACACGAGCUGACGACAGCCAUGCAUCACCUGUCACCGAGUUCCUUGCGGCACAGUCCGGUUUCCCGGACCUUCUCGGGAUGUCAAACCUUGGUAAGGUUCUUCGCGUAUCCUCGAAUUAAACCACACGCUCCACCGCUUGUGCGGGUCCCCGUCAAUUCCUUUGAGUUUUAAGCUUGCGCUCGUACUCCCCAGGCGGGAUGCUUAACGCGUUAGCUUCGUUACUGAACCGGUCGAAGGGUCCAACAACUAGCAUCCAUCGUUUACGGCGUGGACUAC
rnacentral:misc_RNA from 1 species